GAUGAACGCUGGCGGCGUGCCUAAUACAUGCAAGUCGAGCGAACAGACGAGGAGCUUGCUCCUCUGACGUUAGCGGCGGACGGGUGAGUAACACGUGGAUAACCUACCUAUAAGACUGGGAUAACUUCGGGAAACCGGAGCUAAUACCGGAUAAUAUAUUGAACCGCAUGGUUCAAUAGUGAAAGACGGUUUUGCUGUCACUUAUAGAUGGAUCCGCGCCGCAUUAGCUAGUUGGUAAGGUGACGGCUUACCAAGGCGACGCUGCGUAGCCGACCUGAGAGGGAGGGGGGCCACCCUGGGGCUGAGACGGGGAACGGAGGCCACCAGGAGGGGGCAGAAGGGAAUCUUGAGGAAUGGGCGGAGAACUGUCGGAGUGGGGAGGAGGGAAUGAUGAAGGUCUUCGGGUCAGAAAACUAUGUUAUUGGGGAAGAAAAAAUGUGUGAAUAGCAAUGCGAGUCUUGUAGGUACAUGAUCAGAGAACCACGGCUAACGUCGGG
rnacentral:rRNA from 1 species